ACAAGUACCGUGAGGGAAAGUUGCAAAGCACUUUGAAGAGAGAGUUAAAGAGGACGUGAAACCGGUAAGGUGGAAACGGAUAGAGUCGGCGUAUCAUUCAAUUAUUCAGUUACAUUAUUUUUAUGUUGUGACCUCUGAGCUCCAGAUUGGGACAGAGGGAAUCAGCAUAAUUUUUUGUGGUGCAUUUACUUGAUUGGUGCUUGGGGAUGUUUGAGGCAGAUUUGUUUCCGUCGUUUUGAGGCCAGCUUGCUGGUACCCAAACGGUGUUAGCAUUUUUAGUCUUGGGCAUUUGAGUAUGGCUCACGUGUAUUUAUUGGACAGAUCUGAGUGUAAGUUACGGUCGCAUGCGACACGUGCUUUUCAAUUAGUUCGGUCCAGUUUAAAUGCUCUCGUACUCGUUCCCCAUGUAAAAGCCGGUCAUAUCCGACCCGUCUUGAAACACGGACCAAGGAGUUUAUCGUGUGCGCAAGUUUUUGGGUGUUAAAAACUUAAAAGCGAAAUGAAAGUAAAUGACUCUUUAGAGUCUGAUGUGCGAUCUUGUAAAAAAGUGUAGCAUGGCCCCAUUCUAACUGUUUACAGUAGGGUGGCGGAAGAGCGUACGCGGUGAGACCCGAAAGAUGGUGAACUAUUCCUGAGCAGGACGAAGCCAGAGGAAACUCUGGUGGAAGUCCGAAGCGGUUCUGACGUGCAAAUCGAUCGUCUGACUUGGGUAUAGGGGCGAAAGACUAAUCGAACCAUCUAGUAGCUGGUUC
rnacentral:rRNA from 1 species